rnacentral:rRNA from 1 species
AGCGGCAGGCCUUAUACAUGCAAGUCGAGGGGCAGCAUAGAUUGCUUGCAAUCUGAUGGCGACCGGCGAACGGGUGCGUAACGCGUAUGCAACUUACCUUUUACUAGGAGAUAGCCAAGAGAAAUUUUGAUUAAUAUCCUAUACAAUUAUUUUUUCGCAUGAAUUAAUAAUAAAAGCUCAGGCGGUAAAAGAUGGGCAUGCGUCCUAUUAGCUAGUAGGUGAGGUAAAGGCUCACCUAAGCAACGAUAGGUAGGGGUCCUGAGAGGGAGAUCCCCCACACUGGUACUGAGACACGGACCAGACUUCUACGGAAGGCAGCAGUAAGGAAUAUUGGACAAUGGAGGCAACUCUGAUCCAGCCAUGCCGCGUGCAGGAAGACGGCCUUAUGGGUUGUAAACUGCUUUUAUACAGGAAGAAACCUGCUCACGUGUGAGCAGCUGACGGUACUGUAAGAAUAAGGAUCGGCUAACUCCGUGCCAGCAGCCGCGGUAAUACGGAGGAUCCAAGCGUUAUCCGGAAUUAUUGGGUUUAAAGGGUCCGCAGGCUGUUUGUUAAGUCAGAGGUGAAAUCCUACCGCUCAACGGUAGAACUGCCUUUGAUACUGACAAACUUGAGUUAUUGUGAAGUAAUUAGAAUGUGUAGUGUAGCGGUGAAAUGCAUAGAUAUUACACAGAAUACCGAUUGCGAAAGCAGAUUACUAACAAUAUACUGACGCUGAGGGACGAAAGCGUAGGUAGCGAACAGGAUUAGAUACCCUGGUAGUCUACGCCGUAAACGAUGGUCACUAGCUGUUCGAUAUACAUUGGUAUGUUGAGUGGCUAAGCGAAAGUGAUAAGUGACCCACCUGGGGAGUACGC